GAAAUGUAGCGUAUAGGAGGGUCGCAUCUCCCGGGGUGCGGCGGCCGGUCGAAGUCCCUCUUGAACGGGGCCACUAUCCUUAGAUGGUGCCAGGCCAGUGGGACGGUUGCCGCCUUCGGGAAGACCUCUCCUUGGAGUCGGGUUGCUUGAGAGUGCACCCUAAGCAGGUGGUAAACUCCAUCUAAGGCUAAAUACAACCACGAGACCAUAGCAAACAAGUACCCGUGAGGGAAAGUUGAAAAGAACUUUGAAGAGAGAGUUCNAGAGUACGUGAAACCGUUCUGGGUAAACGGGUGGAGUCCUAAAGGUCGAACGGGGAGAUUCAGUAUCCGUUUCGUUCCGACGCGCCUCGCGGCCGGUCAAUACCGCUCGGGUUUCGGCCCCGCUCGGUGCCGGUCGCGGGGUUUUUNGCGCGCGGGCGACGGAGCGCACUUCUCCCCUAGUAGGACGCCGCGACCCGUUGGGGCCGGUCAUAAGGCCCGGGUGCGAGUCCGCGACUGCUCGUCAGUCGCGGAGCCCCGGUGUCCCGGACCGCCUUGCGACGGUCUUACGACGUGGAGCUCUCCCGCUUCCUUUGUGGAGCGCCGGUGCCUCUCGCGAGCGCCCCGCCCGCUAGUCUCCGCGCGGACUUUUGUCCGCCGGGAUCGGUCGGGGGCUGUCGGCGUUGAGGAGUUCUCCGGCAGGGAGUUUGCCACCCCGUCCGCGGCGCUCAAAACAGGGCGACCCACCCGGCCCGUCUUGAAACACGGACCAAGGAGUCUAACAUGUACGCGAGUCGUCGGGCACCACUAAACCCGAAGGCGCAUUAAACGAAAAGGCGGGCCGCCAUACCCGCCGAGGGAGGAUGGGGCGUCGCUCGCUAUCAGUYCCCGCAUCUCUCGGGGCGUCCUACAACUCCUACCCCGGGCUUCGUACUCCUGGGAAUGGAGACGGCAGCAGCCACCNAAGCUUAGUACUGACUGGCGCAUGUGAGGGGAACCCUGAUGGAGGUCCGUAGCGAUUCUGACGUGCAAAUCGAUCGUCGGAACUGGGUAUAGGGGCGAAAGACUAAUCGAACCAUCUAGUAGCUGGUUCCCUCCGAAGUUUCCCUCAGGAUAGCUGGCAUUCGGAGAACCGAGCCCCAUCCGGUAAAGCGAAUGAUUAGAGGCCUUGGGGUCGAAACGACCUCAACCUAUUCUCAAACUUUAAAUGGGUGGGAACCGCGGCUUGCCUAAACAGCGAGGCCGCGGUUCGGGUCAAGAGUGCCAAGUGGGCCAUUUUUGGUAAGCAGAACUGGCGCUGUGGGAUGAACCAAACGCCGGGUUAAGGCGCCCGAAUCGUCGCUCAUACGACACCAUGAAAGGUGUUGGUUGCUUAAGACAGCAGGACGGUGGCCAUGGAAGUCGGAAUCCGCUAAGGAGUGUGUAACAACUCACCUGCCGAAGCAACUAGCCCUGAAAAUGGAUGGCGCUGAAGCGACGUGCCUAUACCCGGCCGCCGGGGCAGAUGGCGGCCGCCUUCGGGCGGUUGGCCGCUACGCCCCGGUGAGUAGGAGGGUCGCGACGGUGUGCGCAGAAGGGUCUGGGCGUGAGCCUGCCUGGAGCCACCGUCGGUGCAGAUCUUGGUGGUAGUAGCAUUACGGAACCCGGUUGCGGAACCGCUAACACGAUCCUCGUAUUGACACGGUAACGUGAAGGACCCCAGAGAUGCCGUCUGGAGCCCCGGGAAGAGUUGUCUUUUCUGCCUGAGCGUUCAGGUUCCAUGGAAUCCUCUCGCAGGGAGAUAUGGAAUAGAACGCGAAGAGCACCGCAGUUGCUGCGGUGUCCGGGGAUUCUCGUCGGCCCUUGAAAAUCUGGGUGAGGGUCACGUGGAGGCGUCGCACCGGCUCGUACCCAUAUCCGCAGCAAGUNUCYNAGUCAA
rnacentral:rRNA from 1 species